CCUACGGGCGGCAGCAGUGGGGAAUCUUGGGCAAUGGGCGCAAGCCUGACCCAGCAACGCCGCGUGAAGGAAGAAGGCUUUCGGGUUGUAAACUUCUUUUCUCAGGGACGGAGCAUGUGACGGUACCUGAGGAAUAAGCCACGGCUAACUACGUGCCAGCAGCCGCGGUAAUACGUAGGUGGCAAGCGUUAUCCGGAUUUACUGGGUGUAAAGGGCGUGCAGGCGGGACUGCAAGUCAGAUGUGAAAACCAUGGGCUCAACCUAUGCACUGCAUCUGAAACUGUAGUUCUUGAGUACAGGAGAGGCAGACGGAACUCCUAGUGUAGCGGUGAAAUGCGUAGAUAUUAGGAGGAACACCAGUGGCGAAGGCGGUCUGCUGGACAGCAACUGACGCUGAGGCGCGAAAGCGUGGGGAGCAAACAGGAUUAGAUACCCUAGUAGAC
rnacentral:rRNA from 1 species